CCCUUAGAUGUUCUGGGCCGCACGCGUGCUACACUGAGUGGAUCAGCGGGUCAGGUUGCGCGAAAGCGUUUCCUAAUCUUUAAAUCCGCUCGUGAUGGGGAUUGACGGUUGCAAUUUUCUGUCAUGAACGAGGAAUACCUUGUAAGCGCGGGUCAUCAUCCCGCGCUGAAUACGUCCCUGCCCUUUGUACACACCGCCCGUCGCUCCUACCGAUUGAGUGCUCAGGUGAGCCAUUCGGACCUUCAUCAUGCCGGUUUCCGGUUUUGAUGAGGGAAAGUCUUGCGAACCUUAUCAUUUAGAGGAAGGAGAAGUCGUAACA
rnacentral:rRNA from 1 species